rnacentral:rRNA from 1 species
GAUGAACGCUAGCUACAGGCUUAACACAUGCAAGUCGCGGGGCAGCAUGGGGGUUGCUUGCAAUCCCCGAUGGCGACCGGCGCACGGGUGAGUAACGCGUAUCCAACCUGCCCUUCACCACGGGAUAACCCGGCGAAAGUCGGACUAAUACCGUAUGUUGUCCAUUGACGGCCUCCGAUUUGGACGAACGGUUUGGCGGUGAAGGAUGGGGAUGCGUCCGAUUAGCUGGACGGCGGGGUGACGGCCCACCGUGGCGACGAUCGGUAGGGGUUCUGAGAGGAAGGUCCCCCACACGGGAACUGAGACACGGUCCAGACUCCUACGGGAGGCAGCAGUGAGGAAUAUUGAUCAAUGGGCGUAAGCCUGAACCAGCCAAGUAGCGUGCAGGAUGACGGCCCUAUGGGUUGUAAACUGCUUUUAUGCGGGGAUAAAGUGGCCCACGUGUGGGUUUUUGCAGGUACCGCAUGAAUAAGGACCGGCUAAUUCCGUG